AUGGGAGUGAGAGGCACAAUACAUUCUCAAAUAACGAAGGGGCACAAGACAUUCAGCGUGAGCGAGGUGGAGGCGCUCUUCGAGCUCUUCAAGACCAUCAGCGGCUCCCUCAUCGACGACGGCCUCAUCAACAAGGAAGAGUUCCAGCUUGCAUUGUUCAAGAGCAAGAUGGACAAUAUUUUUGCUAACCGGAUAUUUGACCUCUUCGAUGUCAAGAAACGGGGGGUCAUUGACUUUGCUGACUUCGUUCAAGCUCUAAAUAUAUUUCACCCUAGCGUUCCAAUGGAAGAGAAAAUUGAUUUUUCCUUCAAGCUAUAUGAUAUGGACAAUACAGGAUUUAUCGAACGGAAAGAGGUCAAGCAGAUGCUUGUUGCUCUUCUGAGUGAAUCAGGAAUGAGGUUAUCAGAUGAAACCAUUGAGUCAAUCCUUGACAAGACAUUUUCAGAUGCUGAUGUGAAUCAGGACGGGAAAAUAGAUAGAGCGGAGUGGGAGAACUUUGUCUCACGAAAUCCCUCCUUGAUGAAGAUAAUGACUCUGCCAUACCUAAAGGACAUAACGACCACAUUCCCUAGCUUUGUGUUCAACUCGAAGGUCGACGACAUCGUGACGUGA
rnacentral:rRNA from 1 species